rnacentral:rRNA from 1 species
UACAGAGGGGGCGAGCGUUGUUCGGAAUUACUGGGCGUAAAGGGCGCGUAGGCGGCCUACUAAGUCGGACGUGAAAUCCCUCGGCUCAACCGGGGAACUGCGUCCGAUACUGGUGGGCUCGAAUCCGGGAGAGGGAUGUGGAAUUCCAGGUGUAGCGGUGAAAUGCGCAGAUAUCAGGAGGAACACCGAGUGGCGAAGGCAGG